UACGUAGGGUGCGAGCGUUAAUCGGAAUUACUGGGCGUAAAGUGUGCGCAGGUGGCCGCGCAAGUCGAGUGUGAAAUCCCCGAGCUUAACUUGGGAAUUGCGCUCGAAACUACGUGGCUCGAGUGUGGCAGAGGAAGGUGGAAUUCCACGUGUAGCGGUGAAAUGCGUAGAGAUGUGGAGGAACACCGAUGGCGAAGGCAGCCUUCUGGGCCAAUACUGACGCUCAUGCACGAAAGCGUGGGGAGCAAACAGG
rnacentral:rRNA from 1 species